GUAGAGGUAGUUCAGUGGUUAAGAGCAUUUGCUGCUCAUGGAGAGGACCCAGGUUCUAUUCCUAGCACCCACA
rnacentral:tRNA from 1 species